AUUGAACGCUGGCGGCAGGCCUAACGCAUGCAAGUCGAGCGGCAGCGGAAGGAAGCUUGCCUUCUUGCCGGCGAGCGGCGGACGGGUGAGUAAGGUAUGGGGAUCUGGCCGAAGGCGGGGGAUAACCACUGGAAACGGUGGCUAAUACCGCAUAAUCUCUAAGGAGCAAAGUGGGGGACCGUUCAGGCCUCACACCUUCGGAUGUACCCAUAUGAGAUUAGCUAGUAGGUGGGGUAAUGGCUCACCUAGGCGACGAUCUCUAGCUGGUCUGAGAGGAUGAUCAGCCACACUGGGACUGAGACACGGCCCAGACUCCUACGGGAGGCAGCAGUGGGGAAUAUUGCACAAUGGGCGCAAGCCUGAUGCAGCCAUGCCGCGCGUAUGAAGAAGGCCUUCGGGUUGUAAAGUACUUUCAGUCGUGAGGAAGGUGUUAAGGUUAAUAACCUUAGCAAUUGACGUUAGCGACAGAAGAAGCACCGGCUAACUCCGUGCCAGCCGCCGCCGUAA
rnacentral:rRNA from 1 species